UACAGAGGAGCCAAGCGUUGUCCGGAUUGACUGGGCGUAAAGCGCACGCAGGCGGAUGCGCGCGUGGGGUGUGAAAUCUGGCCGCUUAACGGCCAGGCGCCAUCCCAUACGGCGCGUCUGGAGUGAUGCAGAGGUCGAUGGAAUUGCCGGUGUAGUGGUGAAAUGCGUAGGGAUCGGCAGGAACACCCAGGGGGAAACCAGUCGACUGGGCAUCUACUGACGCUGAGGUGCGAGAGCGUGGGGAGCGAACCGG
rnacentral:rRNA from 1 species